AAAUAAAAGAAGUUAGAAGGUUUUGGCUUUAUUUAGACAUUUAUUUUAUACUUUUUUUAUAAUGUAAAAAAUUUUGCCAUGACUAAGCUAGUCCAAGACACACACACAAUGGUUACUACUGAAGAAACUUUAUAAUUAUUAUAAAAGUUAUCACAAAUAAAUGAGGCCUUAAAGACAGAUGAAUUCAAAGAUGUUUCCAAGGAACCUUCUGCUUUGUCUGCUGACGUUGGCAUAGAGACAAACAAAGCAGUACAGGAUGAUGAAGAUUUUGAUGAACAAAAGAAAUCUAGGGAAAAUGAUUAUGUCUGGUCUGAAUAAAGCAUGGUUCCAAGUUUUUAUAUUAACAUAGCCUAAACAAUAGGAACUGAUGAUUUUUGUGGCAACGUGACAUCAAAAGCUCCACAUAACAUUCCACAUAUUUUUUUGUUUCCCAUAUGCCUAUCACUGUUUACAUAUGGUAUACAUUAGGAGUACAACAAAGGAAUAUUUUCUAAAAAGUUGUAGAACUUUAGUCUUAUUAGUCAAAUUUCAUUUUUUUACUUAGCUCAAAAGUUUAAUAAUCAUCAUAGCUUAGUAAGAGUGGCAGUCUGUAAAAUUGGAAGGUUGUCAAAACCUUCGACAGAUGUAUGAAAAGCUUAUACACCAUGGUGAAACUUAAUUUUAGACAAUUUAGGGAGAGAGAGAGAGAGAGAGAGAGAAUACCUUAAAGGACCAAAAUAGCUGGCAGAUCCGGGGGAAGGGGCGGUAGUGGCGAUCGCCCCCCCCCUCGGCCGACCCCUCCCCCCAAGAGGGGGGAGGACGAAUUUUAGUAAAGAAAU
rnacentral:sRNA from 1 species